AUCGUCGUGAGCUAUCUGAAGGAAGCCACAGGCAAACCCCUCGGUCUGAAGAACAGAAAUCACAUACAAGACAUGGUGAGACAGGCGAGCUUGCUGAACAAAGCGAAGUCCAAUACUGCCCGAAUCCCAUUCAGUGAAUGUGGCAAAUGGAUGAGGAGAAGGUUAUCGCU
rnacentral:ncRNA from 1 species